ensembl:lncRNA
GUAUGAGUCUGUCUUUUAUUGUGCAAGGUCAAAAGGGGAAGGAGGUCUGACCUUUCUCGCAGUAUCCCCGUUUUGUGAAAGUAAAAACAACCCAAACGACGGUUCAAAAUAAUAAACAAAUGUACAAAUUAAUCACAUGAAAAAAACAAUGAGCUGAAAAGUCAUUUCUAACAAUCACACCGAUCUGUUACUGAUCCUUCCGACAUUUCCCGCUUCAGCCUACAAAAAUAGAACCCAAAUCGCACAGAUCUCAGAACACGCGGUCCCACAGACGACCAAUCAGCGCGCGGCUCAGCACAGGCGCCCAAUCAGCGCGCAGCUCAUCGCCGGCGACCAAUCAGCGCGCGGCUCAUCGCAGACGACCAAUCAGCGCGCAGCUCUUCGGUGUUGCCCCAAAGAGUUAAAACGUGGAAUCGUCAGGGAGAGCGUGCGUUACACAGAUACCCCCCCCCCCCCCCCUUCAAACCGCUCGGCAUGCAAACUAAAUGUAAAAAAAAUAAUAAUAGUGUAACAAUGAACUCGCUGGAUGAGCCCAAAAGUCCUAAAAUCUCCCCUCAAGCCGGCCAAGACGCAGACCGCCCCUCCCGCCCCCGCUGGGUUUAACCUCCCAGGUGAUAACGGGCACUAACCUGCGCAGGAAGAGAACCCACGUGGAGCUGCUCCUCCAUCUUGUUUCACUGACUAGACUGCUAGUGGGACACACACACACUCACACACACACACACUAACAUGCUGACAGAUCACACACACACACACACACACACACACUAACAUGCUGACAGAUCACACACACACACACACACACACACUAACAUGCUGACAGAUCACACACACACACACACACACACACUAACAUGCUAACAGAUCACACACACACACACACUAACAUGCUGACAGAUCACACACACACACACACACUAACAUGCUAACAGAUCACACACACACACACACACACACUAACAUGCUAACAGAUCACACACACGUGCACCAAGCAGCUGUGAUUAUUGACGAGCGCAGGGCGGCGUGUGAAGGGCGAGAGAGGAAGUCGCCCCCGGGAGCGGCGCCCGUCGGCCCCGCUCCUCGGCAAUGGGGGGACCUGAGGCGCUUUGGGGCGUGACCCCUGCAGCAACGCACGCCUGCACGCCGCCCCUCGAGCCCCUCCAAGGGGCUCCAAGUGAUCUGCUGUGGAGACGCUGGAGAAAGACGCUCAAAGGUGCUGCGACGUGGAGCGUGUUAAACGCUCAUGCACACCUGGAAGACGCCAGAGAACCAACCCGAAGAGUUAGAACGGAGCAGGUGAGAACUCACCUUCACCUCCGUUGAAAAUGAAUAAAUGCAAUUCAAUCAGUGUGGGAGGGGGGAGCGAGGGGGGGGGGGCGAGGACACCGUGUACAGACUCUACCGACUCGGUUAGCCGAGCGCGUUUAAAUAAAAAGUGAUUUAGAUUGACGAGAGAGAGAGAAAGAGGGAGGGAGAGAGGGAGAGAGAGAGAGGGAGGGAGGGAGAGAGGGAGAGAGAGAGAGGGAGGGAGAGAGGGAGAGAGAGAGGGAGGGAGAGAGGGCCGUUACAUAAGAGAAUCACUAAAGCAGCAGAUUAGCGACGCAGAGACGAGUUCAAGUGAGAAAAAUCCAAACGUAACUAUGGACGGAUUGUGAAAAGAUUUCUUUUUUUUAAUGAAAUGAACAUACAAUGCGGUUUAUAUGUUUUACAACGUGCACGACGCGGUGCCACUACCCAGGAUGCAUUUUGGCAUCCGUGAAGACGAGUGACGGCGACAUCCCCGCUGCGCUGUAUGAAGCCGGGAUUGUUGCACAGCGAAGAGAGAAUGAGAUGAAUCCAUCUCUCAGCAGGGCCGCACUUACAACUGCUCUUCAUAAGGAAAGCGCUGUGCGUGUAGAUGUGCGUCCACGGCGGCGGCGGCGGCGGCGGCCUCGUGGUCAGACGGCAAUAAGAAAAAAAAGAAAGCAGAUGCGGCUGCGCUUCCCCCGCGGCGGCCCGGUGAGGUUCACUGAGGUCGAGCACAUGAUGUACAGAGCUGUCAUGGUCACGCUCUCAACAUUACUGUGCUGCUCUCAAGUCACUAGAGACACACAGACACACACACAGCCGCCCAGCUGCCUCCGGCUGCCUUGCUCAACAGCGCCCGGGCAAUGCUAUCGCAUUAGCUUUUUCCCUCUAAGGCUACCGCUAGCCAGCUGUUUAGCCUGUUAGCAUUUUGGAUCAAAAUGCUACGUUAGCAAGUAGCAUGUGUGACGUGAGAUGAUGAGUUGCCGUCACAACUUUUGUCACGUGACCGAGGCGGAGUCACCGUCCUGCUCACCAGCGUCCUGUCCGCACGCGCGUACGUCUCCCGGUGCAGAAGAAUUUAAAAUAAGGAGUCCCGGUGACAUGCAGCACACAGCAGGGUGCGACGCGGCGCACACGCCUCGCCUCACUGCGCCACGGCUCC